AUUGAACGCUGGCGGCAGGCCUAACACAUGCAAGUCGAGCGGCUGAACGGUGCUUGCUCCUGGAUUCAGCGGCGGACGGGUGAGUAAUGCCUAGGAAUCUGCCUGGUAGCGGGGGAUAACGUCCGGACACGGGGGCAAUUACGCCAUUAGCCCUGAGGGCCAACGGGGGGGAUCAUGGGACCUUAGGCCCUUGGAUGAGCCUAGGUCGGAUUAGCUAGUUGGUGGGGUAAAGGCCUACCAAGGCGACGAUCCGUAACUGGUCUGAGAGGAUGAUCAGUCACACUGGAACUGAGACACGGUCCAGACUCCUACGGGAGGCAGCAGUGGGGAAUAUUGGACAAUGGGCGAAAGCCUGAUCCAGCCAUGCCGCGUGUGUGAAGAAGGUCUUCGGAUUGUAAAGCACUUUAAGUUGGGAAGAAGGGCAGUAAGUUAAUACCUUGCUGUUUUGACGUUACCAACAGAAUAAGCACCGGCUAACUUCGUG
rnacentral:rRNA from 1 species